UACGUAGGGGGCUAGCGUUGUCCGGAAUCAUUGGGCGUAAAGCGCGCGUAGGCGGCCAGAUAAGUCCGGUGUGAAAGUCACAGGCUCAACCUGUGAAUGCCGCUGGAAACUGUCUGGCUAGAGUCCGGAAGGGGCGAGUGGAAUUCCUGGUGUAGUGGUGAAAUGCGUAGAGAUGUGGAGGAAUACCGAUGGCGAAGGCAGCCCCCUGGGAUAACACUGACGCUCAUGCACGAAAGCGUGGGGAGCAAACAGG
rnacentral:rRNA from 1 species